rnacentral:rRNA from 1 species
AUGGAAGACGGCGGUGUGCAGAUCAUCUCCCGGCGCAUGGUCAAGCCGGAGUAUCAAAAGAGCUCACCACCGCCGGAGCCUGAGACCGUCCACCUGACGCCAUGGGAUCUCCGGCGGAUCACCAUGGGCUACAGCCAGAACGGCGUCCUCCUGCCCAAGCCUCCGGCCGGCAUGCACGCCGUCGAACACCUCGCGUCGUCCUUCGCGCGCGCCUUGGGCCGCUUCCACCCCCUUGCCGGCCGCUUUGCCGUCGCGCCAGCGGGCAGCGCCGACAGCCUGACGAUCUCGCUCCGCUGCGGCGACGAAGGCGCCGAGUUCGUCCACGCCGCGGCGCCCGGGGUCGCCGUGGCCGACAUCUCCGGCCCGCUCCGCGUCAUCCCGCGCGUCGUCUGGUCCUUCUUCCCUCUCAACGGGAUGCUCAGCACGGACGCGGCCGCUGACCCCAGCCGGCCGCUCCUGGCCUCGCAGGUCACCGAGCUCGCCGACGGCGUCUUCGUCGGCAUGUCGCUCAGCCACGCGGCCGCCGACUGGACGACGUUCUGGGACCUCUUCAACACGUGGUCGGAGAUCAGCCGAAACAAGAGUGACAUAUCCACAGCGGCGCCGCCACUCGAGAGGUGGUUCCCCGACGGCUGCCCCGUGCCGAUCCCUCUUCCCUUCACCAAGGUGCAGGACAUGGCGACGCCUUUCGAGUACCCGCCGGUGCAGGAAUGCUCGAUCCAUUUCUCCCCGGAGAGCAUAAAGAAGCUGAAGGCGAAGGCGAACGCCGAGAUGGCCGGCACGGCCACGGCCACGGCCCCCAUCUCCUCGCUGCAGGCCGUGCUCGCGCACCUAUGGCGAGCGGUGUGCCGCGCCCGGGUGCUGGGGCCGGACGUGGAGGCGAAGCUCACGCUCCCCGUGGGAUGCCGGGCGCGGGUGAAGGGCAUUCCGGAGUCUUACAUGGGCAACGCCUUGACAAGUGGAGUAGCCAGGCACCCCGUCGGCGAGAUCCUGGGCGAAGGCCGGCUGGGCCGGACGGCGUGGCUCGUGAACCGCGCCGUGGCGUCGGUCGACGAGGCGAGCGUGAGGGCCGAGCUCGCGGCUUGGCCUCGAAACCCCAGCUUCAGCCACGUGGGCGUGGAUGGCCGCGAUGGGGAUCCUGCGGCGGUGAUGAUGAGCGGCUCGCCGCGGUUCGACGUGUAUGGCAACGACUUUGGGUGGGGCAGGCCGGUGGGCGUCCGGACUGGGCCGGGGGACAAGGAGGACGGGCUGAUCACGGUUUUCGAGGCCGGCGGAGAGGCCGGCGGCAUGGAACUGGAGGUGUGCCUCCCUGCUGAUGUGCUCGCCAGGCUCGUCGCCGACGAAGAGCUGAUGAGCACGUCCGUCUAG